AAUCAACGCUGGCGGCGUGCCUCAGACAUGCAAGUCGAACGAUUAAACUUUCCUUCGGGAAAGAUAUAAAGUGGCGCACGGGUGGGUAACACGUAAGUAAUCUACCUUCGAGUGGGGAAUAACAUCGGGAAACCGAUGCUAAUACCGCAUAAUGCAGCGGCAUCGCAAGAUGACAGUUGUUAAAGGAGCAAUCCGCUUGAAGAGGAGCUUGCGGCAGAUUAGCUAGUUGGUAAGGUAAUGGCUUACCAAGGCUUCGAUCUGUAUCCGGCCUGAGAGGGCGGUCGGACACACUGACACUGAAUAACGGGUCAGACUCCUACGGGAGGCAGCAGUCGGGAAUUUUGGGCAAUGGGCGAAAACCUGACCCAGCAACGCCGCGUGAAGGAUGAAGUAUUUCGGUAUGUAAACUUCGAAAGAAUGGGAAGAAUCAAUGACGGUACCACUUAUAAGCUCCGGCUAACUACGUGCCAGCCGCCGCAGUAACAC
rnacentral:rRNA from 1 species